rnacentral:rRNA from 1 species
UACGAAGGGGGCUAGCGUUGUUCGGAAUUAGUACGUGGGCGUAAAGGGCGCGUAGGCGGUGUGUCAAAGUCAGGGCGUCGCAAAGCCCCCGGGCUCAACCUGGGAACAGCGCUUGGAGACUGGCACGCUCGAGUUCGGGAGAGGAUGGUGGAAUUCCCAGUGAUAGAGGUGAAAAUUCGUAGAUAUGGGAAGAACACCGAUG